AUUGAACGCUGGCGGCAGGCCUAACACAUGCAAGUCGAACGCGUGGCGGACGGGUGAGUAAUGUAUGGGAAACUGCCUGAUGGAGGGGUAUAACCACUGGAAACGGUCGCUAAUACCGUAUACUAUCGGAUGUGCCGAGAUGGGAUGAGCUAGUAGGUGGGGUAAAGGCUCACCUAGGCGACGAUCCCUAGCUGGUCUGAGAGGAUGACCAGCCACACUGGAACUGAGACACGGUCCAGACUCCUACGGGAGGCAGCAGUGGGGAAUAUUGCACAAUGGGCGCAAGCCUGAUGCAGCCAUGCCGCGUGUAUGAAGAAGGCCUUCGGGUUGUAAAGUACUUUCAGCGGGGAGGCGUUACCCGCAGAAGAAGCACCGGCUAACUCCGUGCCAGCAGCCGCGGUAAUUC
rnacentral:rRNA from 1 species